GAUGAAGAACGUAGCGAAAUGCGAUACGUAAUGUGAAUUGCAGAAUUCAGUGAAUCAUCGAAUCUUUGAACGCACAUUGCGCCCGCCAGUAUUCUGGCGGGCAUGCCUGUUCGAGCGUCAUUUCAACCCUCAAGCCCAGCUUGGUGUUGGGGAUCGGCACAGGCGCCCUCGGGCGCCCGCCGUCCCCUAAAUCUAGUGGCGGUCCCGCUGCAGCCUCCUCUGCGUAGUAGUUUUCUCCUCGCAAGGGCAGCUCGGUGGCGACCUCGCCGUAAAACCCCCAACUUCUGAAAGGUUGACCUCGAAUCAGGUAGGAAUACCCGCUGAACUUAAGCAUAUCAAUAAGCGGAGGA
rnacentral:misc_RNA from 1 species